rnacentral:lncRNA from 1 species
CUUCUAUUCAUCAUUUAUCUUCUUAUAUAGGUUGAUGGACUCAAACUUGCUAUUCUGAUUAUGUCAAGCUACAAUUUUUUGACCUAGGGUUGCGUGUCGCCCCCCAUUUCAAUUGAAUCUGAUUGGUUGGUGAGUUCGGUUGUGGCAAAGUAAUCAUGAGACCUAUGCCUUAGCAUGUAUCCUCAGCCAUCAUGUCAUCUUCCAAAUUAGUUGAUUUGAGAGGUGUUGUAUAUAUCAUGAUGGUGUUUUCAUAUAACGUCUCUAAUAGUUUGAUUUCGACCUCUAUUGACUUGGUCAUGGAGCCGAAUUGACGUGUUCGGACUAUUAAACACUUUUGAGCAAGUCAAGGAGAAAUCUCAACUUAUUUGACGUGAAUAUCAUGUUGGCAACUACAUAAUUUGAAACGCGGAGGUCCAUACUGUUUCAAGUGUCACUUAGAACUUCUAUGAGUGGCGAAUUCUUCAAAAAGAAUUAAGAUACUGUAAUUGAAGCUAAAAAUAUUUAAAGAAUUAGGUUAAGCUCAACACUGGACAAGUAAAUUUUUAGGUGAAACCGCAAUUAAAUUAUUUUGUUGAAAAUUAAUUUUCCUUUAAGCAUGCGACAAAGCCAAUGAAGUGCAAUUUGUUAUUGAAGUUUCCAAAUAUUUCAAUCACAUCGGUGCUAGGUUUCUUUUUUAUUUUUUUAUAUUAAUAAUCCAGAAGUUUCCAUUUGCACAAGAAAUUACUGGCAAGAAAAACACCAAUAUGGCGGACAAAGCUGGUACCACUCCAACAAGUUCAUGACAAAACGUGUCCUUUCCAAUUGCCAUAUUUGUAUUCAAGUUCAGGACCCGCUUUGGGGGAGGCAAAUCCACUGAUUUUGGGUUGAUCUUCUCUGUUAAGAGUGCGAAGAAAUACUAGCUUAAAUAUUGGCAUCAGGAUCAGUCUUAAUAACAAGGUCGAGAAGUCCGGGAAGCAACUGAAGUAGAGAGGGUGAGUGCUAUCCUCCAGGUCUAAUCAACUUUAGAUAUAAACACUUUUAAUAUAUAAUGAUUGCAAUUUUAUCUCAAUUUUAUUAUUUAGUUGAUAUUCUGUUUAAUUAAAUAAUAGAGUCUGUGUAUUCAAAUAAUAGUGAUUUGUUAAACACAAAGAGUUAUGAUUAUAA